rnacentral:lncRNA from 1 species
UGAUAGUCAGUUGUGCUGCACUAAGAGACCACAAUGAAUUGUUUUUGUUGUGAGCUUCUUUUAGAGCAAAUGAUUUCUGAGAGAGGGAGAGAGAGAGAGAGAAAGUUUUUAUUUCCAUUCCCAUCCCCAAUUCACACACAGAUAAGCCUAAGGAAACAGCAGUAAACAUGGUCCUCGUAAUGUCAUGUUAAGUUUAAUGGUUUGCAGCAAUACCUAGGGCCAUUGCUUGUGAUUAUAUAUGGAAAAGAGAAAAAAAAUACUUAUUGCCGUAUUUUUAUUCUUUAUAUUUUCCUGGAUUUCUCUGACCUUUAAUGUAUAAAUGAACUAAAUGGAGUGGGAAACUCAUCCAGCACCACCAGGCUGGAGAUGAAUGAUGACAGACAAGAAUGAGCCUCAGUGAAGAUGGUGUGGAGUCUCAUUCCAAGGAGGAGAAGAGGUGCGCUUAUGGCAGGGAAGACCACAAUGAUCCUUGCAUCAGUGCCUGCAGAGGUCAUCCACUGAGCAGAAAACAACCUGGAAUUGCAGGCCCUUAUUCCUUCAGUGGCUGAGCUGAGACCAGGGCGAGACAGGAGAUGACGGAAAAUCCAGCAGGUAAGCCACUCUCCUUCCUUCCUCCCCAUGGGCAGGGCAGCUAUGAUGCACAGCUGCUCUAUAGAACUUUCCCAAAGACUUCUACAAGACGUGCAACCGGCUGUGUGCAUUGUGGAGCCAUAGCCAGUUCAAUAAUGCACUGAUGUUUUCACUCUAGAUUUUCCAAGGCUGUACUAUGGACAAAGCAUUUCCUUGCCAGGUUUUUGCCUCCAGCUUUGUUUCCUGAGGAACCCGUGAUAACACAGAAAUGAUCAUUAUCCUUGGUCCCAGAAAUCAUUGCCAAAGUGGAGAGCCAGGGCUUUUUCAUUAUGCAUUCAUGAAGUCUAACGAGCAUGGUGGCCGCAAGGUCUAAGUCAGAGCCUAAGGUGAAGUCCAGUGGCUAGACCCCUCCUAUGGAAAGGAAAUUGGAAAUGGGAAUCACACUUUCCCAUGGCCCAUUCAAAAGAUCAGAGAGAGGGCGGGUGUUCCGCUGGAGGUUUUAAGCUUUCGAAUCACAUUGAGCU